GACCAUGGAAAGGAAUAAAGGAGUCACUGAAACCCAGAUGGGUUAGAAGAAUGUGGGGGCUUUGAGAUUUCCAAGGGAAUCUUCAUGUAUCUCAACUAAUCUUUUCCUUUCUGAGCAAAUCAUUAAUAUACACAAAGUUGAGUGUCUCAGAAGGGGGAAAACUUGUUAGUUUGCUUUCUGAUGAACACUUAUAGGGAGGAUGAAACCGGGAAGAAGAGAACCAGGAUGAAGAAGCAAUACUGAAGAUAUGUCGAGGCAUCAGGAGACGUAGUCUACUGAGACCUUCUGAGAAGCCCAUGAAAUGCCUCCUCGAAUUGUCCCCCUGAAUGCAGACACUGGAGGUUUCAUGUCUUGGCUCCUGUCCUGCCAGGAGCAUUAGCACGCCUGCAGCUAGACCUAUGAUGUCACAGACGACCCUGGGGCAGAAAGCCUGGGCAUCAGGGCAUGCAUAUGGGGCACGCUGGAGGCAGACUUGCAUGAACAUAGCGUCCACAGCACUGGAGGGUACAAUCAGAGGUGGGACAGAAGGUCCUAGAGCUCCACCGUGAAGGACU